CAGCACUUGAUACUAACCGAGCUAUCUAUAUCCUAGUCUUGUUUCCAAGGCUUGUGAUAUGUCGUGAUAGUUGGGUUGAAGAAGUGCGAUAUUAAAGCAAAAGCCAUGAGUCUUUUAGGCCCAGUGUGUAAAGACACAUUCUGAGUUAUAACUCAGAGGCACAUCU
ensembl:scaRNA predicted gene, 22767